UUUCCUCAACUCCCUUUUUUCAUUUUUGUUUAAGCGUAGCCUUUUUUCCACGGUGCCCAGUGCUUCAUUUCUGUGCUUGGUUUGAAUGACCAGGUAGUUAAAAUUCACUUGUCCAUGGUGAGAGAGAAAGCGGUGCAAGUGUUCAAAAACAGAGACAACAGUGUAGGUUUUGUUUCUUAAAAUGGUCAGCCAUGAAAUACAAGAAGGUGCAAAGAACUCUAUGUUAAUUCCACAACGGCUGCCUGCGGGUUAAACGUGAUAUGACAUAUUUAUUUACUGAUACCCAGAACUGACACAAUAACCCCUGUUGCUGUGCAUGUUGAAAAGAGAGAUCUAUUUGCUCUCUGCAAACCUAGCAAUGUUCGUGCUGAGAAACUAUAAUACGCAGCACUAAAUUUAGAGCAUAGUCAGCCAAAGAUAUUCUUACUGCCCUCUAUGUAUUAUGAAAUCUGUUUGACAAUUACUUAAGGCGUUUCUCUUAUCUAAACAAUUUCCACAGUAGCGUUGCUGUAUUUUAAAAGUAGUAAGACUUCUUUAAGAUAGGAAAACCCCCAUCCAAAACCCACUUUGAAGCUAGCCAGAUACGAACAGCAGGAACAGGUGAGUAUCUGAUACUUUUGUGCCAUAUUAACACAACUUCCCUUUUGAGGUUGCUGUGAGUGCUGGAGGAUGCUGCUUGGGCUGAGAACUGAGUCUGCUGUUAAUGUUGGAUAUUGGGCACUAGUGAAACUGAGCAGUCACCAACUUCAUCAUAGAAGCAGAAGAUCCCAAAACUUUCCACCCUUCAGAUUCUCAUCUGCACCGUGCAAAAAGGCCGCAGCGGAGACCCAGGCCCGUUUUCUGAGGACGCUAAUACCUGCGUGGAAAGAGAGAGCAAAAAAUAAGCGGAGCAGAAAAGGAUGGAAAAGAGCGCGCACCACAGAAGGGAGAAGCACGACUGAAGUCAGGUACUAUUUAAGUGGAAAAGCUAAAUUACAGCCUAUGGUUUUUGUCUUAAAUUCAGCCCUAAAUUAGGCUGCACUGUGAUUUUGAGGAAUAAUGGUUUUUCUUCUUCCUAAAGAAAAUGGGCCAUCCUACCUCAGCGUAUCCUGCUGUGGGACCAGCCAUGUCACCUGUCGUAGUCCUGAGGGCAGCGGGGCCUGAAAUCCCUGACUCCUGUGUUUCUUAUUGACAAAUGGUAAAGGUCUCCUACAGCAAUGACAAGCACGGAUAUUUUAACCGGCAAUACGGACAGAGACAAUUUAUAGUCUAUUGUGUUAAGGCAGCUGCUGAGCGUUCAUACCCUGCCACCAUCUUGACAUUCCCGACUGGUUUUGAUAGCUAUUUUUAACAAUGGAUGUUUAACAGGAAAACCCUCAUUUCCCAGCAUGUUAUCUUGGCCUUUUGCACUUUUUCUCUUCUCUAGUCCCUUCCUCCAGCUUUUCCACCUUCCCACACUUCUCCUCACACGCAUACAUGAAAACAAGUGCAGCAAGAAAAAAAAAAAGGUAAAACCGUCGUAACACAGCCUAAGUACAAUUCAGUAACAGAGGGGAUGUUUCUUUGGCAAACGUUUUGCAUACAACAGUACUGAAAACAAGAAAGAUCCUGUAUCUACUACCAC
ensembl:lncRNA